AUGAGACUCCACAUGGUCCUGGAACGGCUCUCAUACAUGGGGUUCGGGCUACUUCCACCAGUGCUUCGCUUGCCUGAUCUCUCUUCUAGCUCUCAUACGGGUUAUCGUUCCACGAGAGCAACAAAAGGAGACCAAGAUGGUGGACAACAUCGGUCCUUCGCUUGCCUGAUCUCUCUUCUAGCGCUCGGAAAGGUGCAUGUCCACAUAAGAUCCAUGCCAUACUUCAAGACCCUCAUGUACUACCUGACCAUUGUUGUGAUCUUGUUUGGGAUGUCGUAUAUCGUUGGCGUGCUGAUCACUUUGGUGCCAUCGAGCAAGGUGGUGCAUCAGCUCUUCAUGCUUCUCCAGGUUCUGAGGGCUGAGAAGAGGGAUGCCAGAAACAUCUACAUGUUCAGCAUCAUGGGCAAGACGUUGACCACCAAGGAGAACAGAUGUCUCCUGCGUCAAGAUGGAGCGCAAAGUGCUCGAUCAGUUGGUCUAGUCAGGUAG
rnacentral:rRNA from 1 species